GUUGUAGGUAACGGCCUACCAAGUCAGGAUCUUUAGGGGCCUGAGAGGUGAUCCCCCACACUGGUACUGAGACACGGACCAGACUCCUACGGGAGGCAGCAGUGAGGAAUAUUGGACAAUGGGUGAGAGCCUGAUCCAGCCAUCCCGCGUGAAGGACGACGGCCCUAUGGGUUGUAAACUUCUUUUGUAUAGGGAUAAACCUUUCCACGUGUGGAAAGCUGAAGGUACUAUACGAAUAAGCACCGGCUAACUCCGUGCCAGCAGCCGCGGUAAUACGGAGGGUGCAAGCGUUAUCCGGAUUUAUUGGGUUUAAAGGGUCCGUAGGCGGAUCUGUAAGUCAGUGGUGAAAUCUCAUAGCUUAACUAUGAAACUGCCAUUGAUACUGCAGGUCUUGAGUAAAGUAGAAGUGGCUGGAAUAAGUAGUGUAGCGGUGAAAUGCAUAGAUAUUACUUAGAACACCAAUUGCGAAGGCAGGUCACUAUGUUUUAACUGACGCUGAUGGACGAAAGCGUGGGGAGCGAACAGGAUUAGAUACCCUGGUAGUCCACGCCGUAAACGAUGCUAACUCGUUUUUGGGCUUUCGGGUUCAGAGACUAAGCGAAAGUGAUAAGUUAGCCACCUGGGGAGUACGUUCGCAAGAAUGAAACUCAAAGGAAUUGACGGGGGCCCGCACAAGCGGUGGAUUAUGUGGUUUAAUUCGAUGAUACGCGAGGAACCUUACCAAGGCUUAAAUGGGAAUUGACAGGUUUAGAAAUAGACUUUUCUUCGGACAAUUUUCAAGGUGCUGCAUGGUUGUCGUCAGCUCGUGCCGUGAGGUGUUAGGUUAAGUCCUGCAACGAGCGCAACCCCUGUCACUAGUUGCCAUCAUUCAGUUGGGGACUCUAGUGAGACUGCCUACGCAAGUAGAGAGGAAGGUGGGGAUGACGUCAAAUCAUCACGGCCCUUACGCCUUGGGCCACACACGUAAUACAAUGGCCGGUACAGAGGGCAGCUACCAAGUGAUUGGAUGCGAAUCUCGAAAGCCGGUCUCAGUUCGGAUUGGAGUCUGCAACUCGACUCUAUGAAGCUGGAAUCGCUAGUAAUCGCGCAUCAGCCAUGGCGCGGUGAAUACGUUCCCGGGCCUUGUACACACCGCCCGUCAAGCCAUGGAAGUUUGGGGUACCUGAAGUCGGUGACCGUAACAGGAGCUGCCCUAG
rnacentral:rRNA from 1 species